GGCGCGCAUUGAUAUGACAGGUGUUUCAAGACAGUAAUCAAACAAACAAACAAACAAAAUCUUUACGACAGAGUCGCCGCCGCUGCUCUGAAGAAGAGGAGGACCUUUAGUACCAUCUGUGUUUCUCACACUAGAAAAGAGCUUUCAGGAUGAACAGCAGUGGGCCGGUGUACCCUUUGGCCUCGCUCUAUGUGGGCGACCUGCAUCCUGAUGUCACGGAGGCCAUGCUAUAUCAAAAGUUCUCCCCUGCAGGACCCAUCAUGUCCAUCCGCGUGUGCCGGGAUAUCAUCACCCGCAGGUCCCUCGGUUAUGCCUACAUCAAUUAUCAGCAGCCUGCUGACGCUGAAUGUGCUCUGGACACGAUGAACUAUGAAGUGAUAAAGGGUCGUCCCAUUAGGAUCAUGUGGUCGCAGCGAGACCCUUGUCUGAGGAAGUCUGGAGUGGGGAACAUCUUCAUCAAGAACAUGGACGAGUCGAUCGACAACAAGGCGCUUUAUGACACCUUCUCUGCCUUUGGCAACAUUUUGUCAUGUAAGGUGGUAUGUGACGAAAAUGGCUCGAAAGGUUAUGGAUUUGUGCACUUUGAGACACAGGAGGCAGCGAAACGAGCCAUUGAAACCAUGAACGGCAUGCUCCUGAAUGAUCGCAAAGUUUUUGUCGGACAUUUUAAAUCUCGUAAAGAGCGGGAGGCAGAGUUUGGCGCAAAGGCCAUGGAGUUCACCAAUGUUUACAUCAAGAACUUUGGAGACGAUUUUGACAAUGAGAAGCUACGCAAUAUCUUCUCUGAAUUUGGUAGGACCCUGAGUGUCCGUGUGAUGACUGAUGAAAAGGGGCGUUCUCGUGGCUUUGGCUUUGUGAACUAUGAAAACCACGAGGAUGCACAGAAAGCAGUAGCUGAGAUGAACGGAAAGGAAUUGAACGGACGAGUUCUGUAUGUGGGCCGUGCUCAGAAGAGACUGGAGAGACAGUCCGAACUCAAACGCAGGUUCGAGCAAAUCAAGCAAGAACGCUUAAACCGAUACCAGGGGGUGAAUCUGUACGUGAAGAAUCUGGAUGACGGCAUUGAUGAUGACAAACUGAGAAAAGAGUUUGCCCCCUAUGGCAUGAUUACCAGUGCUAAGGUGAUGACUGAGGGAGGUCACAGUAAAGGCUUUGGCUUCGUUUGUUUCUCCUCUCCUGAGGAGGCCACUAAAGCUGUGACAGAGAUGAAUGGCCGGAUCGUCAGCACUAAGCCUCUGUAUGUGGCCCUGGCCCAAAGGAAAGAGGAGCGCAAGGCCAUACUCACCAACCAGUACAUGCAGAGACUGGCCAGUGUGAGAGCCAUUCCUGGCCCUGCCAUGCCUACUUACCAGCAGAGUUCUGGCUACUACAUGCCUUCCAUACCUCAGCCUCAGGGACGUGCCUUCUACAACACUGUACCAAAUCUACGACCAGCACCACGCUUUGCUGCCCAAGCCCCAAGACCACAGGCUCCUUACUCGGCUCAGACAAUGAGACCAGCAAUGCCACGCAGGACCUCCACCCCCAUCAGCACUGUGCGCCAAGCCUCCACCCAGGCUCCAGGUGUGAACACCCAGAGAAUGGCGCACAUCGGGACUCAGACAGCAGGUGGGCGAACUGUGGGAGGGCCUAUGGUGAGGGGCGUCUCUCAAUACAAAUACUCAAGCGGGGUUCGAAAUGUUCAACAGGUCAUCACUGUACCAACUUCUAUUCCACAGCAGAUGUUUUCUGUCCCAGCUUGCGUUCUUCUAAAGAGAGAGUGGACACGGCCAUGCAUCACUGUGGCACUAAUGCCAGCUGAAAUGGAGUACUCUGCACUUGAGUUGGCUUGCCUGAGAGGCAUUAACUUUUCAGCCUUAUUCUGUUUGAGAAAAUGUUACUUUGUAGAUGGUGCCUUCUGCAGUUAUGGAGCCUGCAGUUCAUAUAAAAGGUCAAGAGCCCCUUACUCCAUCAAUGUUGGCAGCCGCACCCCUUUUGGAGCAGAAACAACUACUGGUAUCUGGUGUGACCCCCUUGUGCAGCAAUAACUGCAACUAAAAGUUUGCGGUAACUGUUGAUCAGUCCUGAACACCGGGUUCGAGGAAUUUUAUCCCUUUCCUCAGUACAGAACAGCUUCAACUCUGGGAUGUUAGUGGGUUUCCUCAAAUGAAAUGCUUGUUGCCAGCAUCAGGAUUUGGUCAGGUGUUUUUUGUUUUUUAAACUAUAAUAAGGUCAGGAAUGCUUGCAAAACUUUAGCUCAUUAUAAGUUUAAAAUAUACUUAUAUAAACAUUAUAUAAACAUGUACUUUGUGAGCAGUAGUGGAGUUACCAAUUGAAUUAUUGUGUAGCAAUGUAGCCCUGAUUAAACACAUCUCAUUUUCUUAAAGUUUACAUUUAAGGCAUUUGGCAGGCACCUUUAUCCAGGGUAACAGCACAGAAGUGCUUUUGAAAUUUCUAUCAAUAAAAGUCAUUCUCGUAGACUGGUUCAUAAGGUGAACGUCUGUAUCCACUGAUCCAUGCCCUGCAUCCGAACCUCGCAGGCAAGAUCACUGGCAUGCUGCUCGAAAUAGAUAAUUCUGAACUUCUACUCAUGCUAGAGUCUCCAGAGUCACUGCAAACCAAGGU